rnacentral:rRNA from 1 species
AGAGUUUGAUCCUGGCUCAGGACGAACGCUGGCGGCGUGCUUAACACAUGCAAGUCGAACGAGAAUCUGAUGACGGAGUUUUCGGACAACUGAUUCAGAGGACAGUGGCGGACGGGUGAGUAACGCGUGAGGAACCUGCCUUUCAGAGGGGGACAACAGUUGGAAACGACUGCUAAUACCGCAUGAAGCGUAUUGAUCGCAUGGUCGAUACGCCAAAGAUUUAUCGCUGAAAGAUGGCCUCGCGUCUGAUUAGCUAGUUGGUGAGGUAACGGCCCACCAAGGCGACGAUCAGUAGCCGGACUGAGAGGUUGAACGGCCACAUUGGGACUGAGAUACGGCCCAGACUCCUACGGGAGGCAGCAGUGGGGAAUAUUGGGCAAUGGGCGCAAGCCUGACCCAGCAACGCCGCGUGAAGGAAGAAGGCUUUCGGGUUGUAAACUUCUUUUGUCGGGGACGAGUAGAAGACGGUACCUGACGAAUAAGCCACGGCUAACUACGUGCCAGCAGCCGCGGUAAUACGUAGGUGGCAAGCGUUGUCCGGAUUUACUGGGUGUAAAGGGCGUGUAGCCGGGAGGGCAAGUCAGAUGUGAAAUCCACGGGCUUAACUCGUGAACUGCAUUUGAAACUACUCUUCUUGAGUAUCGGAGAGGCAAUCGGAAUUCCUAGUGUAGCGGUGAAAUGCGUAGAUAUUAGGAGGAACACCAGUGGCGAAGGCGGAUUGCUGAACGACAACUGACGGUGAGGCGCGAAAGCGUGGGGAGCAAACAGGAUUAGAUACCCUGGUAGUCCACGCUGUAAACGAUGAAUACUAGGUGUGCGGGGACUGACCCCCUGCGUGCCGCAGUUAACACAAUAAGUAUUCCACCUGGGGAGUACGAUCGCAAGGUUGAAACUCAAAGGAAUUGACGGGGGCCCGCACAAGCAGUGGAGUAUGUGGUUUAAUUCGACGCAACGCGAAGAACCUUACCAAGUCUUGACAUCCUGCGACGAUGCUGGAAACAGUAUUUUCCUUCGGGACGCAGAGACAGGUGGUGCAUGGUUGUCGUCAGCUCGUGUCGUGAGAUGUUGGGUUAAGUCCCGCAACUAGCGCAACCCUUAUGGUCAGUUACUACGCAAGAGGACUCUGGCCAGACUGCCGUUGACAAAACGGAGGAAGGUGGGGAUGACGUCAAAUCAUCAUGCCCUUUAUGACUUGGGCUACACACGUACUACAAUGGCGUUAAACAAAGAGAAGCAAGACCGCGAGGUGGAGCAAAACUCAGAAACAACGUCCCAGUUCGGACUGCAGGCUGCAACUCGCCUGCACGAAGUCGGAAUUGCUAGUAAUCGUGGAUCAGCAUGCCACGGUGAAUACGUUCCCGGGCCUUGUACACACCGCCCGUCACACCAUGAGAGCCGGGGGGACCCGAAGUCGGUAGUCUAACCGCAAGGAGGACGCCGCCGAAGGUAAAACUGGUGAUUGGGGUGAAGUCGUAACAAGGUA